GACAGUGUGGUAUAGUGGUUUGACCACUGGACUAGGAUUCUAGAAACCAGGUUCAAAUCCUUGCUUGGAAA